rnacentral:rRNA from 1 species
AGUGAACGCUGGCGGUAGGCCUAACACAUGCAAGUCGAACGGCAGCACCGUAAGUGCUUGCUCUUACGGGUGGCGAGUGGCGGACGGGUGAGGUAUACAUCGGAAUAUACUUUUUCGCGGGGGAUAACGUAGGGAAACUUACGCUAAUACCGCAUACGUCCUACGGGUGAAAGCAGGGGAUCUUCGGACCUUGCGCGAUUGAAUGAGCCGAUGUCGGAUUAGCUAGUUGGCGGGGUAAAGGCCCACCAAGGCGACGAUCCGUAGCUGGUCUGAGAGGAUGAACAGCCACACGGGAACUGAGACACGGUCCAGACUCCUACAGGAGGCAGCAGUGGAGAAUAUUAGACGAUGGGGGCAAGCCUGAUCCAGCCAUACCGCGUGGAUGAAGAAGGCCUUCGGGUGGGAAAACCCUUUUGUUGGGAAAGAAAAGCAGCAGUUUAAUACCCCGCUGUUCUGACGGUACCCAAAGAAUAAGCACCGGCUAACUUCGUG